GCGCCCGUAGCUCAGCGGAUCAGAGCAUCUGUCUACGGAACAGAAGGUCGCAGGUUCGAAUCCUGCCGGGCGUG
rnacentral:tRNA from 1 species